CCCAGGUAAGAGAGACAGUCGUGACCCCUCUCCUUCUUUUCCGGUACACACGCUUCCAUAUCUUAAGAGAGCCACCUCUAUUCUCAUAAAUUCCCCCAAUCUCAAAAUUUGGGUUCUCUGGUUACAAAAUCAUUACCAACAAUAAUCCUAAAAAUUCCGAUCAUCAAAUACAAUCGUUUUAAGAAGUUCUGAUGGAGAAACAAUCGAGGUCGACGUGGCUAUUGUGUACUGUAAGAAGCAUGUGGAGACUUUGAAUGCCGAUGAGAAGGUCACUAAGAAGAUGCUUUAUGUGCGGUUCCACAGAAGGGAAGGGAAGCGGAGCCGAUGUGUCCAGCAACGGCGGUGCAGCGAGCUAGGGCUUCUAUCACUUUUGUAAUUUUGGGUUUUGGUGAUCUUCUAUUCUGCUCGCAAGCAACCUGGAUUGAACAUCUACUCUGUUUCAUGACAAUUAGGGUUUGGAGUAUGCGAUUCAGAUGGAAGAUGCCUCCAGGUAAGUUCACACGAAAUUAGGUAAGUGUUGUUUGUGCUCUUGAUUUCAAUUAUAUUUCUUCAAAUUGAAUUCGAAUUUAGAUUUACAAGCCAUUGAUAGUUGGUAUGUGUGUGCUUACUGAAUGUACAAUAAUCCUGGUAUAUUAAGAUGCUUUGAUUAUACGAUUGGACUUUUCAAUCAUGCUGAUUGGCUCCGUUGGACUUCUGCUGCACAACUACCUUUGCUUGAAGAUGAAAUGCGGAGGGUUGAAAGAGUGAAUCAACACAGCAGUCUAGAUUGAAACUAUACGCCUACUGACAGGGUACGUACAUACUGCAAGUAAAUGGUUUUGAUUAUACCUAAUGGUUAUUAGAUUUGUUAGCAACCUAACUGGAUCUUCCAUGCUUGAGCUUUUCGUACUUUCGGCAAUAUUUCGUUAGAUGCUUGGAGGGAUCAGUGGCUUGCCAACAAGAAAGCAAUUGCUGAGAGAAACGUCUACAUGCUCUUAAAAGAGAGCAAUCAUUUUUCUAGCAAUUUUCUAUGAGAGAUAAGCUUGAGUCAUGUGUAGGGACCUGCAACAUCAAAGCAAGAUGUCAUGGUAUGUUUUAAUUAUAUGUCUGCGAUUUGAUUUCAAUCUCUCAUUUUGCUCUAUGUAAGUAUGUUUGUGUGUGCGCUCUACACAUUUGAUCAUGUGUAACAACUUGGAAACUUGAGGAGAUGAAUAGUGUGGGGAUUAGUGGGGUGGGACAACCUGAAGCACCUGAUGGGAAGUCGUGGUGUUGGUGGUUAUGCUCAACCUGUUAAUGGACCGGGUUCCUAUAUAGAUUCUUUAGGGUUUGCACCUGACUCGGACCACCAAUAUUCUGAGCAUAACUCAUCUGGUGGUUGGUUGGACGAGUGAUUAGGUCUGGUAAGGGGCGUCAUUGGGUACCCCUACCUGAUUUGGUUGGAAAUUUUGGUUUAAUAGUGUUGAAAAGGCUAGGCUAGAAAAAAAAACUUUUUUAAGUUAGUCGACUAAAAUUUCAGAGCAAGUUAGAAAAAGCUAGGCUGGAAAAAGAAAUUUUUUUAAGUUGGUUGACUAAAUUUUUCAGAGCAGACUUUUUGGUCAACCUUUUAAAAGGUCAAUGACAGCCAAUCGGUGAGGGUUAGUGGGGUUAACAAGUGUGAUUACAUGCGUGAUAAAUUUAAGAGGGGUUGCUUAUUAUUUUGGGCGUGUUUAAUUGAGAUGGUUUGGUAUUUGGAGUGGUGGUGUGUAGGUACGCCCUGUAAACAUAUCGGAAAAGAAGAAUGGUGGAGCUUGGGUCAUGAGAUUUAUGGUAGUAAUUAGAAUCAUGUUAAUUUGGCCCAUGCUCUUUCAUAUGGUGCAGCAGUGGAUUGAGCCAAGUGGUUAUUUUAACGGAAAUGCAAUUCGGUUAUUUUUACGUCGGAUGCUUCAUGUUUUGGGUCCGAAGCCUAUUUUAGGCAAAAUAGGAAAAUGGAAAAAGGUUGUGAGAUUUAUAUGCUUUGACAAGAUAUGCUGAUGCUAAAGACCGAGCAAUUGGAGCAAAAAAAUUAUACUGAUACAUAAAACCUCCUAAAACGUUUCAUUCAUUAAGUUAUAUGAUUGAAAAAAAUUAUAUUUUACGUAAUUGUAUUUGAUACACUAGCUAUAUAUAAAGAUUUCAACCCUUUUGGACAAAAAGUGUUGCAGGCCGACAUUACUAAGAGAAUUUGCCCAUUUUGAUUUGAACCCAUUACCUAAACCACCCAUUUUGAUUAUCCAAGGUACUAGCACAGACCAACUAGGGAAUGCACAACUGAGGCCAACAAAGCAGAAGUUUGUUUUACUCCUGGACUGUUGGGUCCAGAUGGAACAAACAACUAUUUGGGAAAAUGGUGCAAAAGGGGUCAGAAUAAGGGUUCUAAGGCUUCUUCAAUAUCAACACAAUCAAAUGAGUCUAGGGGAUCAUUACUUUCUGCUAGAAGUAGCAAGCUUGGGGCUAAAACAAGUAGUUUGCAAUCUGAGGGGUGCUUGCGGAUCGGUCACUUUUUAAGUAAAGCAGGUCAAUAGUGGGGUCGCGAGGCACGAGACGGGACUCGAACCUGGUCUCCACCCGAGCCGAACCCUAUGCACGCCACAUACCACCACCCGACCGUCAGCGCUUUUGUGUGAACCACUAAUGCGUUACUAAUGACAAGAUCAGUUGUUUCUUGAUGCCUUGAUGAACCACUAAUGCGUGUGGUGAAGUAGUUACCAUUCACAAAGCUAGCGAGUUGGAAACAAGGUUGACCACUUCAUCAAAGUUGAACCAACUAGCCAUUUUUACAUGGUGAACUCGGUAACCCGGGCGAUCAAAUGGCUGCGCUAUGGUCAACUCGGUAACCUGGACGAUUAACAAGCACCUUUCCUCAAAGUCCACCAAGUUUUUUCAAACUUUGCUAUAUCCUUAGUGUAACCGUAUUAACUUGUACAUCAUGUUUUAAAUGUGGUGUAUUUGUUUUAAUGACAAAUCUUUUGUUUUAUUGUAAGUUUUAUUAUUUUAGAAAUAUACCAAUACGGGUAUACGAC